CUGUCCCCCUGCCCAGAAGGACACAGAAGUCACUCUCUGCCUGAGCACUUCCCCCUGCCCUAGAAAGGCCAGAGACGCUGAGAGGGCGACUUCUGCUGCCAUAAACACGGGCGAUUGCAGUAAAGUUUGAAGUGGUCCCAACAGCUCCACUUGGGAUGCGGGCGAGCAUGUGGAUGGUAAUGGGUUUGCAGCAAGGAGGGCACGAGGAGCAACGCACGCGGUGUCACAUGCGUACCUGAGCAGGUGUGUACAAGACUGGUUUGUAUUCGCUCAGGAGAGGUAAACACUAUCUUCAGGGCAGUGUUUGGCUGAGAUGAUCUCUGUGUUCGGGUGAGUAAAGUUCUAAAUACGGUGAUGGAUUCUGUGUAGGGGCAGCGGGUGGGUAUCGCCUCCCCAGCUCAUCGUGGCGAUGGAUGCAGAAGAGAGACCAGGGAACUUUGCUCAGGGAUGCAAAAAAAAGAGGUGUCUGCAAGGGCCUGGGCACCCAAAAGGAAGUUACCUGGCAGGUGUCAAUCUUGCCUCUAGGAUACCCUGCGCACACAUUAGUUGAACGAAUUCGCCCAUUGUACCAGCGGGUCGAGUUACAUAAUUCGAGGUCGAUGAGGGCCACACGUGCCUCCUGCAGUGUAGGUGACGUCCUGGGGCCUACAGCCAGGCAACUCAGUGGGAAGAAAGCACGCAGCUGGAAGAGCUGACGAGAGACAGGAGAUGGAGGAGAGAGGAAGAGAGGAAAGACAUGGACGGUGGACAGGUGGCAGGGGCAGGAUGGAUGGAUGCAGCUGAAGAGUCCUAUUCAUCAAUGGCAGUGGCUUAUGGAGGUUGGCUGUGCGGUUAGCGACUGUACCGAGGACGUGCCAAGCAGUUGCCAUGAGCCACACAGGUGUCAUCGCCUGUAUUCCUCACAGCCACCUCGUGAGGGGUGGCUUCACCGGCUUAUUGCUUCCCCACACAACUUCGUUUGCUCCGAAAAUCAGUCUCCAGUCAGUAACUUUUCUGCGGGCACAGAGGUGAGCCAGGUCACUGUCCCUGCGGGCUGGCUGGACAGACGCCUCUGGCAACAUGACCCUCAGAGCACCCUCAUCCCCAGCAAGGGUCCAGGUCAACCAGAGCCUCAGGGACCUUCCUCACAGAGACUCGGGGAGAACACCCCUUGCGGAAGCCCCCCUCCGUGGGAUCCCACACUUACUUUUUGUUCUUGAAGCAGUGAGCAGCAGUGAGCACCCAGUGCGAGUUCAGCAAGAUGCCCCCGCACGUGUGGUACC